UUCUUAUUGAAUGAUGACUAUCACGUGUCAUGUUCUCAUUGGUCAAUGAAAACAACAAUUCAUUUCACGUGUGACAUGUGACAGUUAUCAUCCAAUAAGAACGUGACACGUGCCAGUCAACAUCA
rfam:Glycine soja cultivar W05 scaffold661_33, whole genome shotgun sequence.